rnacentral:rRNA from 1 species
UUUGGCAGUCAGAAAAUGUCUGAAAACCCCCAGAUACUUCCUGAUCUUGGAAGCUAAUCAGUGCCAGCCCUUGUUAGUACUUGGAUGGGAGACCACCAAUGAAUACCAGGUGCUGUAGGCC